CGGACAGUGUCUGGUGGGUAGUUUGACUGGGGCGGUCUCCUCCUAAAGAGUAACGGAGGAGCACGAAGGUUGGCUAAUCCUGGUCGGACAUCAGGAGGUUAGUGCAAUGGCAUAAGCCAGCUUGACUGCGAGCGUGACGGCGCGAGCAGGUGCGAAAGCAGGUCAUAGUGAUCCGGUGGUUCUGAAUGGAAGGGCCAUCGCUCAACGGAUAAAAGGUACUCCGGGGAUAACAGGCUGAUACCGCCCAAGAGUUCAUAUCGACGGCGGUGUUUGGCACCUCGAUGUCGGCUCAUCACAUCCUGGGGCUGAAGUAGGUCCCAAGGGUAUGGCUGUUCGCCAUUUAAAGUGGUACGCGAGCUGGGUUUAGAACGUCGUGAGACAGUUCGGUCCCUAUCUGCCGUGGGCGCUGGAGAACUGAGGGGGGCUGCUCCUAGUACGAGAGGACCGGAGUGGACGCAUCACUGGUGUUCGGGUUGUCAUGCCAAUGGCACUGCCCGGUAGCUAAAUGCGGAAGAGAUAAGUGCUGAAAGCAUCUAAGCACGAAACUUGCCCCGAGAUGAGUUCUCCCUGACUCCUUGAGAGUCCUGAAGGAACGUUGAAGACGACGACGUUGAUAGGCCGGGUGUGUAAGC
rnacentral:rRNA from 1 species